rnacentral:rRNA from 1 species
UACAGAGGUCUCAAGCGUUGUUCGGAUUCAUUGGGCGUAAAAGGUGCGUAGGCGGCGCGGUAAGUCGGGUGUGAAAUCUCGGGGCUUAACUCCGAAACUGCAUUCGAUACUGCCGUGCUUGAGGACUGGAGAGGAGACUGGAAUUUACGGUGUAGCGGUGAAAUGCGUAGAUAUCGUAAGGAAGACCAGUGGCGAAGGCGGGUCUCUGGACAGUUCCUGACGCUGAGGCACGAAGGUCAGGGGAGCAAACGGG